rnacentral:rRNA from 1 species
UACGUAGGGGUGACGCGUUGUCCGGAAUUAUUGGGCGUAAAGAGCUCGUAGGCGGUCUGUCGCGUCUGCUGUGAAAACUCAGGGCUUAACCCUGAGCUUGCAGUGGGUACGGGCAGACUAGAGUGCGGUAGGGGAGACUGGAAUUCCUGGUGUAGCGGUGAAAUGACGCAGAUAUCAGGAGGAACACCGGUGGCGAAGGCGGGUCUCUGGGCCGUAACUGACGCUGGAGGAGCGAAAGCAUCGGGGAGCGAACAGG